CUUAUCCCGUCCUUCCUCCUACCUCAUUUCUCCCCAGAAAUUCUCCGCCUCAGCCCGUCUCUUCUCUGUCUCUGGCGACUUCCUCUUUGGCGGUGUGGUUCUCGGCGGCGCGGGUUGACGGAGAAGAGGGGCGCGGGCGAAGGGAGCGUGGUCGACGGGGUGGGUAGGUUGCCGAGGAGCUCGAGAUGACCGUCGAUUUCUUGCCGCGGCGUGGGGCACCCUGCGGCGAUACAAGGGUUGCGGUCAGUCGGCACGGGGGAGGGCAUCUGCAUGCUGCACGACGCAUUGCUGUGGGUUGAACGAACAUGGUUCGACUGCUGAUUCAAGAGCGGCGGCUGCAUCAACCACGGUGGGUGCGAAACGAGCUCGACAGGCGCAACGAACACAUCGUUUUCACCCAAUUUCACAGUUAGUCCCCUCUCCCAACCUGCUAUCUACGCAUGCAUAUACGACACGGGGGCUUCUGCAUGUUGCAGGGCAAGGUGGCGUGGGAUGCGCGAAGGCGAUAUGAUUGUUGAAUCUGGGCACGGCAGGGCGCAACGAAUUCGGCGGGCACAUCACCGGGGAGCACGGCGGCGGAUCGAGGACGGCGAGUGCAUCGAGCAUGGCGGGGAGCAUCUGCUCCUUCAUCAGAGUUAUCAUGGUGUUUUUAUCAGGGAUUUUGUACAGAUGAUAAGAGUAACAAGAAGCAAGAUGGACUACACGACAAGAAACAAUGUUCGUAAUAAUACAUCAGUAUAUGUGUUUUUGGGUGUUCUUUUUGCCAAGGAACAAAGUAGUGGGGGCACACAACAUGUGGCAGCAAGUCCCCAUUAUGUAGUAAUGUUUGUUCUUUGUAGCUUCCAGCAAAGGGAGAGGGUGGAUGGACAGUCCAGAAAAUGCCUUGGUUUUGUAGUAAACAAUCAAAGCACCUUAAUAUGCAUCUUUUAUUUGCCCAUCAAAGGGUUUGCAAUACUUAAUUUGCUCCUAA